rnacentral:tRNA from 1 species
GGGAAUGUAGCUCAGUGGUAGAGCACUUGCCUAGCAUGUAUGAGGAGGCCUUGGGUUCAUUCCCU